rnacentral:rRNA from 1 species
AGCAGCCGCGGUAAUUCCAGCUCCAAUAGCGUAUAUUAAAGUUGUUGCAGUUAAAAAGCUCGUAGUUGAAUUUCGGGGUCAGCAGGUCGGUCGUGCCAACGGUAUGCACUGGCCUUGCUGAUUCCUCCCUCCUGAUGAACCGUAAUGCCAUUAAUUUGGUGUUGCGGGGAAACUGGACUGUUACUUUGAAAAAAUUAGAGUGUUUAAAGCAGGCUAACGCUUGAAUACAUUAGCAUGGAAUAAUGAAAUAGGACGUUCGAUCUUAUUUUGUUGGUUUCUAGGAUUGACGUAAUGAUUAAUAGGGAUAGUUGGGGGCAUUAGUAUUCAAUUGUCAGAGGUGAAAUUCUUGGAUUUAUUGAAGACUAACUACUGCGAAAGCAUUUGCCAAGGAUGUUUUCAUUAAUCAAGAACGAAAGUUAGGGGAUCGAAGACGAUCAGAUACCGUCGUAGUCUUAACCAUAAACUAUGCCGACUAGGGAUCGGAUGAUGUUAAUUUUUUAAUGACUCA